rnacentral:rRNA from 1 species
UACAGAGGGUGCAAGCGUUAAUCGGAAUUACUGGGCGUAAAGCGUGCGCAGACGGUUGCGUAAGUCAGAUGUGAAAGCCCCGGGCUCAACCUGGGAAUUGCAUUUGAGACUGCGUAGCUAGGGUGCGGAAGAGGGAAGCGGAAUUUCCGGUGCAGCGGUGAAAUGCGUAGAUAUCGGAAGGAACACCAGUGGCGAAAGCGGCUUCCUGGUCCAGCACCGACGUUCAGGCACGAAAGCGUGGGGAGCAAACAGG